GAUGAAGAACGUAGCGAAAUGCGAUAAGUAGUGUGAAUUGCAGAAUUCAGUGAAUCAUCGAAUCUUUGAACGCACAUUGCGCCCCUUGGUAUUCCAUGGGGCAUGCCUGUUCGAGCGUCAUUUGUACCUUCAAGCUCUGCUUGGUGUUGGGUGUUUGUCUCGCCUCUGCGCGUAGACUCGCCUCAAAACAAUUGGCAGCCGGCGUAUUGAUUUCGGAGCGCAGUACAUCUCGCGCUUUGCACUCAUAACGACGACGUCCAAAAGUACAUUUUUACACUCUUGACCUCGGAUCAGGUAGGGAUACCCGCUGAACUUAAGCAUACAAUAAGCGGAGGA
rnacentral:misc_RNA from 1 species